rnacentral:rRNA from 1 species
CAGCCGCGGUAAUUCCAGCUCCAAUAGCGUAUAUUAAAGUUGUUGCAGUUAAAAAGCUCGUAGUUGAAUUUCGGGGUCAGUAGGUUGGUCGUGCCACCGGUACGUACUGGUCUCACUGAUUCCUCCUUCCUGAAGAACCGUAAUGCCAUUAAUUUGGUGUUGCGGGGAAUCUGGACUGUUACUUUGAAAAAAUUAGAGUGUUUAAAGCAGGCUAACGCUUGAAUACAUUAGCAUGGAAUAAUAGAAUAGGACGUGUGGUUCUAUUUUGUUGGUUUCUAGGACCGCCGUAAUGAUUAAUAGGGAUAGUUGGGGGCAUUAGUAUUCAAUUGUCAGAGGUGAAAUUCUUGGAUUUAUUGAAGACUAACUACUGCGAAAGCAUUUGCCAAGGAUGUUUUCAUUAAUCAAGAACGAAAGUUAGGGAUCGAAGACGAUCAGAUACCGUCGUAGUCUUAACCAUAAACUAUGCCGACUAGGGGAUCGGAUGAUGUUAAUUUUUAUAAUGACUCAUUCGGCGCCUUACGGGAAAC